rnacentral:lncRNA from 1 species
CUUACACAUUUGAUAUCAUCAAAACCUUAUUCCACUCAAAUUUAAAAAAAAAAAGAAAAAUCGUAGGCCGAAAAACCAAAUCUAACAUAAAAAUUACAACAAAUGAUGAAUCAAGAGUUUCCCUCCAAAGAGACAUCUCUUCACUCCUCAGGUCUAAGAUAUGGCGAAGAACUCAUAUCAGUACUGUAAUAAGAAUCUUCUCCACCAUUUAAGUAACUCUCUUCCUUCUCUUCCUCCCA